GUGGAAUGGGGCGGGGCAAGGCGGGAAACGGAAAGCCUCCGCAGAAGCUGAUGCCAGUGGCCUUCCUCUGAAGCGCAGCCAUGUGCAAAGCCAGGGGAGGAGCACGGAGUGUGGCACAGCACC